rnacentral:rRNA from 1 species
GAUGAACGCUAGCGGGAGGCCUAACACAUGCAAGCCGAGCGGUAUUGUUUCUUCGGAAAUGAGAGAGCGGCGUACGGGUGCGUAACACGUGUGCAACCUGCCUUUAUCUGGGGGAUAGCCUUUCGAAAGGAAGAUUAAUACUCCAUAAUAUAUUGAACGGCAUCGUUUAAUAUUGAAAGCUCCGGCGGAUAGAGAUGGGCACGCGCAAGAUUAGCUAGUUGGUGAGGUAACGGCUCACCAAGGCGAUGAUCUUUAGGGGGGCUGAGAGGGUGACCCCCCACACUGGUACUGAGACACCGACCAGACACCUACGGGAGGCAGCGAUGAGGAAUAUUGGUCAAUGGGUGCAAGCCUGAACCAGCCAGCCCGCGUGAAGGACGACUGCCCUAUGGGUUGUAAACUUCUUUUGGAUAGGGAUAAACCUACCCUCGAGAGGGUAGCUGAAGGUACUAGACGAAUAAGCACCGGCUAACUCCGUG